CGGUCAUGAACCCUCGCAUAUCUGUGAGGAGAAAAGAAUUUUGCAAAACCUAAGUUGGAAGACAUCCCAACAGCGACAACUGAGGUGAUGGAAAUCUAGCCUUUUCUAUGACCACACUAUGCAUACUUAAUUCUUAUCUUAAAUACCUUAAAAUAAAAAAUCAGUUAACAAUGUAGAAAAUAUUUUGGUUAGCAUGAUAAAACAUCUGAUAAUCCAGAAGAACAGACUAUAUUGUUACCUCUGAGCUCUUGGCAGCCACCUAGCACCAUGCUGUGACAGACACAUCUUUCUCUACUCCAGUUACCUCUCCCAUCUCUUGAACCUGAACAUUUAUUCAAGGAGGCGACUUGCAGAAUGCUAUGUUGUCAAUAUUAUUGGCAAAACCAAAAGCAAUAGAGCAAGCUUUCUUAUUCAGUGAUACAUCAGGCUAGCACACUGGGGAGAAGUCUGGAUUAGGAAAUCUGGGUUCUCACUGAGGCUGUGCCACUGACCAGGCACCACCCUGGGCAAGUCAUUUCGUGCUCUGACUUCAGGUUACUUGUUUUAAGAAAAGGGGGAUGAGAUGUGGGGUAAUCUUUAAGGCCUCUUCUUGUCCUAUGAUUUUGUGACUAUAGCAAGUGUUACCGUAAGUGCUUAAUAUUUGUCCUCUUCAAAUAAGCUUAUAUCAAAUAAGCUUUCUCUGGAAGUAAAUGCUCAAACAACCUGACCUCCAAGCUGGGGGCACCUUCUUUAAAGGCAAGCCACACACGCAUAGAAAUGUUAACAUCGCUAUUUCUUUAGAUAGAUACAAGUACUUCCAGAUUACCUUUAAAGUUUGUGUUUAGAGUAAGUAAAUCACAAUCAAUUGGACAAAUGAUAGGCAAAGAUAACUGCCCUGUAGAAUUGGGAUAAAACAGGUGGGAGAGCUGUGGCCUCAUUUUAAUGUCAAACAAGGCCCACAGGACUGUUGGAAGGGGAAGCAAGCUCUGCUCUGCCCCAAUCUCUGACACCUAUCCCUUCUGAUUCCCCCUUGUAACUCUCCUGUCCCACUCUGGUACGUAUAUUCAUUUUCUUCCGAACAACCCCUUUCUUCCUUUAAGGGAAAAAGACUUCAGAAAAGGCCAACAUAGCCUCAGAGCAGAACCCUCGUGCCUACACUUGGGUACCAUCAAAGCAGUCAGUGUCCUAAGGGCUUUCUCUUUAGAAACCGGACAGACCCUGUGAUCCCUGUAGGAGUUUUCAUCACUGCCCACAGCUAGGCUUCCUACAGGAAAGGGCCUGAGACCAGGAGAGCCUGGGAAGAUGUGUCUCUCUCAGCACUGAUUCCUGGGAUGAAGGUUAGGAAUGGGCAGACCUGGGGAAGAGGCAAGGGACAGAGAGAAUCUCCUGCUCUAACUCUCAAAAGUACUUAACACUGAAGUAAAACAUCACUUGGGUAGCAGUUGGCUGCCUUUACUGUUGGACCCUGAAAGCACCAUCACGUCAGCUACCUGGAGGCCACUUUGUGGGCAAGACCAACAGGACAACAAAAAUAUCAGCCCUGGAAGAUGACAUGACAAUUGCUAAGGAAAAGUUUUGAAUUUGUAUCUCUGCAGAGUAUUUCUCUCAGUUUUCUCAAGCCCCGCUAUACAAGUAAGAAUAAAUCAGCACAGCACCAAGGAUAUUAGUGAUACAGGUGGGACGUGGUCUCUCAUCUGGUCAAUCGGGAGGAUUCCACUGCAGAUCAUCUCGGCUUUGGUAGAGACGAAGGACGGCAUCACCAGGCCUGGGCAGUCACAUAAGCAGAGGCCAGGUUCCACAUAGAGAGUCUGAAAGACAGGAAGAGGUGCAUGCUGGGCAUACGGCACAGGAAGGGAAAGAAGAGCAGCACACAAGAGGCAAAGAACUUCAGGAAAUACCCAGAGGGGGGACCUGACUGAGAAGGAAAUACGAGGCCGGUGCUGCAGAAGUACCUGGAAGUGCUUGGUGUGACCAGGUGUGGCAGACACAGAUACUUUCUUGUUGCCCAUGAUGGUGUUGAUUGUUGAACUCUUACCAACAUUCGGGUAGCCCACCUAGAAGAGAGUCAGAGGAAUGUUUACAGCGUAAGUUGGCAAGGAUCACAGGAUGCCAAAAGCCGACCUCAUCUAAAAAGCCUAUCCAAAGGGUCUUCCUUCCUUGAGCCUCAGAAUCCACAGUCCAACUUUCAUUCCAGUUCUGGCCACAGGCCUCCUCAUCGGGGUUGCUGCCCUCUUCCGAACAC